GCAUUCCUACGGGGGGCAGCAGUGGGGAAUAUUGCACAAUGGGGGAAACCCUGAUGCAGCAACGCCGCGUGAGUGAUGACGGCCUUCGGGUUGUAAAGCUCUGUCUUCAGGGACGAUAAUGACGGUACCUGAGGAGGAAGCCACGGCUAACUACGUGCCAGCAGCCGCGGUAAUACGUAGGUGGCGAGCGUUGUCCGGAUUUACUGGGCGUAAAGGGAGCGUAGGCGGGCUUUUAAGUCUGACGU
rnacentral:rRNA from 1 species